GGACCUGCAGGGGAGAAGAUGAAGCUUUGAGACAGUGAAUGGGGAGCUGUGUCUUUAACAGCGAGCCAGUCCUUGCCUUCCCAGGGCAGAGGAUAGCAGCUGGGCUGCCCCCCAGGCCCAGGCCUCCUGUUUUGCACAGCUUCUGAAGCCAGCCUGACUGCUGCCCUGGGAGUCUCCUGGCCACAGACUGAAGGUGUCAUUAUAGAAAGCACGUUCUACCACAAGGGCCAUUGCCGGGAGUACCUAACAAUCCAGCUGCAAAUGCAAACUGACAGGCACGAAGAAAAGUGGUGACUCAUAGCCCGCAGGCCCUUGACUUCCAGCUUCUGAGAUGCAAUUUCCUAUUGUCCUGGGAACCCCAUCUCUGCAAUGACACAACCUCGCAUCUCCCAUUGCCAUCGUCACCACUGGCGUCAUCAUCAUUAUGGCUGUUAUCACAGGCACUUCACCAGGUGAAGGUACUAUGAUUCAAGGAGAUGAAGCAAUUUUCUUACAACGAGAAAGAGAUGAAGAUGUUGAGGGCCUGAAUCUAGGAUGUGUUUGUAUCGUCUCAAUGAUGUUUUUCAAAGUGACAAUAUCUCAAAGGUUGUAAUUCUCCUGUAGGCAGCCACUACCACAUGUGCACACAUGUGCAUAUGUAUAUAUGCCCAUGCACAAAUGCACACGCAUGUGGGUAUUAUAAUUAUACUCUUCAGAUGGACUGAUGGACUAUAACACUGGGUCAUUGUGUAAAUGUUUUUCUGGCUUGUACCUCCAGCAAAGUUUAACCUUGUUCCAAAGCUAUGCUUCUUACCUUUGUAAAAUAAGAGAAUAAUAAUGUUACUUCCAAAUUUUCAUUAUGUAAAUACAGAUCUGGGGGCUGGAACAUGAGCCAUGGGCUGAAUGAAUCUUAGAUUCUAGAGUCUCUGACUCCUGGGUCGACAAUAUUCCAUAGGCCAUGCCCCACAGAGCAGGCGAGUCUACAUUUCUUAUCACAACCUGACCUUACCCUUCUCAUGUUGCUGACAGUUUGAUGUUAGGAAGGCAGAUCUAGAUAAAAAGGCGUUCUCAUGCCAGUAAAAUCAGGAACAUGUGGGGAUGGGAGAAGUCUGAGUUUCUCAAGUGAUAUUUGGGUAUGAGGUUGGAUGGCAAGGAGACUCCUUCUCUACCAAGCUUCCAUCAGACUCGAGGGCUUUGGACUGACUUCAACUGUGAUGAUCCACAGCCUCAGAAAAAUUUCACCUGUGGUCAUCAGAGCAGAUGGGGAGGCCACGUGAUAGAGCCCGUCUUGGUAGUGAGAUAGUAAAACACUAAACAUUAUUUUGGAGCACAUUCUAGAAGGGAUUGGCUUAUUUUUAGAUACUCACUGAGUUGGUUUUACAAAAUGAACAUUCCAUUUAAAAAUGUAUUAUCAAAUUAAUAGCAUAACAAGUUUUCAGGGGAGGUUUAUUAGAGUCAAAUAUUUUAAAAGCUGUCAUUUAAACAGAAACGGUUGUUAAAUUGAGGAGAUAAUUAGGUACCUGAAAUUAAUCAAAGUAUGUUUUUUAAA